UUAUGUACUAAACUCAUUAUUAGUUUGGUUUGUAUUAUUUUGUCAGUUCAUGAAAAACACAAGAUAGUUGGGUGCGUGCGCAAAAAUAUCAAUGAAAAGAUGAAAAAACCAAAAAAAAGCUCUGCCCUUCCAUCUCUUGGAUAGAUAGAGAGGGAGGGCAGAGGCCUUUGGUGUCCCUUUCAGUCAAGAAUUGGGGCUUCACAAUUACUUAGAUAUAUCACCUAAAAAAAGUUCAAAGAAAAAUUAUGCAAGUUCAAUCUGUGUGCUGCUACAAAUUUGCACUUCUUGUCCAGUCGUACUAGUACCGAUGAAUAACAAGUUACUGAUAGUUAUUACUGACGGAAAAAUGUAGGGGUUGAAGUAAACCCUCUCGAUAUACUAUUACUGAUGUAUGUGCUCUGCCUGCACAUUUUUCAAUACCGAAGAAUAACCCUAGCGAGAAGUUCAUGUUUAGAAAGUUGGUAGGUUCAUACAUAGAAACUUAACAAAUAUUGUCCAUUUUAGUAUUGAUCGAGUAUCAUAUAUGCGUCAGUUCUAAAUACUUUGUUCAUUGUCAUCAGAGAUAAUACAAAAAGCAUAUCCUUCAGUUCUGCAGAUAUUUUACAACUUCUCUGAACAUGCGUCCACCGACAUGCUCGGCACCGUCCACAACUUCAUCGUGUGAGAGCUUCUGCUCUAGAUCCUCUUCCUCCAUGGUCCCCGCACGCCGUGACGACCAGGUCUGCAACCGAAACUAAAGCAUGGUGUUCUUGGAACCAAACUGAAGCAAUGCAACGAGAAGUACAAAAACUUGGGCUGAUGUACCUUGUCCUAUACCCACUUCUUUGCCUGGAUGUAGGAAUCUGAUAGAGAAAACAAGUUUGAUUUCUUGGCCCACUAUCUUGUCCAUGUGUGUGGCAUUAAUCAACCGUCUAAAGGAGAAAGGUGUUCUACAUGAAAUUCAUCAAUUUGUCAGUGCGAGUUUAUUCUUUUUUGUCAGGUUUAAGUUCAACUAUGGUUUUGUUUGGACUUGCAAGAUUCAGUUGACAACCACUAUUGUGCAAUGAUAUUAUGGUACUAUUAACAUAAACAUAGAGCCCUCCACCUAUGGCGACGCGCCAUGGCUCCUCCUCCCACAUCCCACGACGCGCUGCAAGGGCGGUCGCCGGCGGAGGGCGGAGCGUCGGAAACAACCACCUCUGCCCCAUCCCGCUCCUCCUCAUCGCGUGACCGUCUUCUUCGGCGCCCUGCACCUCGACGUCGAGCACUGCCCUCGCAUGAGAGAUCGGACGGACAAGGCGCUCCUGCCACCUUCUUCCCCGUGGAUCCAGCUCCUGUUCCCCGCCGACAGCAGGAGACAUGAGGUCACCUCCGGGGCUGCUGGUGGCGUGAAGGCCAUCAAAUGUGGUAAAUUUCUAACCCUUGUAACCUCAGGUACUACUACAAAGCAGAAAGGAUCUCUGUAAGUUAGUUAAUAGCACCAUGCCGUGCCUCUUGUGCUGCAAGACUUCUAGUUCUUCAACUAAAAAAAUAUACGUUUCGCUUGGCAUGCUUUCUGGAUGUGGUAUUACAUGAUAUCAGUCCUAAAAAAGUAAAACUUUCUUCUAUUGUCAGUUCAAUUUUCUCUAGUAUGUAUGUUCUGGAGAUGAUGCAUGUUUGUUUGCUUUUUAUCAUGAUAUAUAGAAAGAUGCUGGUAGCUGUAGUACCUAUACUACAACAGUUCAUUGACAAAAAAUAUAUCAGUUCAAUACAUACUUGGAAAAAAGCUCAAUACUAAGUGUUCUCUGCCUAUCCUUACAUUAGCUAGUCUUCACCAUGUUCAGAUAGUACCUAGAAGAAGUUAACUCAUGCAUUUCCAUAAAACUAUGUACUGAUAAAUCAGAACUCGUGCAUUUCCAUAAAAUUAUGUAUGUUUCGUGUGUGUGCUUCUACAAAUCUGAAAUACUUUUCCAAUCAUACUAGUACUGAUGCAAUCACCUAAAAACGUUGAAGAAAAAUUAUGUAAGUUUGGUGCGUGUGCUGCUACAAAUCUAAACUUCUUGUCCAGUCAUUCUAGUACCGAUGAAGAUCGAGUUGACGGAAAUAAUGUAGUCGAUACCUGAGACCCUUAAUAGUCCUAUAUAUAUAAGUUGUGCCUGAUAGCCAUACAUGAUUUUUCUCUUUGUUGCCUGCUUGUUUUUGUAAAAUUCUUUGAACUUAUUUAGGUGAUAUAUUUUGACCUUUGCCUCGUCAGUACAACAGCACGCUCCCCAGCCGGUCACGAGAAGAGCUGCGUGCAGGCCCCCUGUGCUCUAUCCUCGAUCCGCCUCAGUCAUCUCCCUCUCAUCCUCUCUCUGCUCCGUGUGUGUGUGUGUGCAGGGAGUGGGAGCAGAUAGAGCAGGGGAGUGGGAGGCCCUUCCAUGGUGAAUUCAUAGGCAUCUUCCAUGGAGCACAAGUAGCAAUUCCCAGCUGAGAGAACCCUCAUGUUAAAAAGUAUAAAAGCAGUUUUGAAGCAAUUCCCAGUGUCUUUAGAAGCAUUCAUGGUUAAAAAGCAACGACUACCUCCUCCGUUCGAGUUGAGCACUGGUCAUCGUCCAAGUUGAGCACUAGGUGUCGUCCAAGUUCAAAGAGGGUUGUAUGCAAGUACAGAAGUUUGUUUUAGUGAGAAAAUGCGGCGUUUUCACAAUAUUAUGUAUGAUUCAUUUGUUCAACCUUAGACUUGGCGAUAUUCAGUCUAUUUUUCUAUGAUGAAGGCACACAUGAAGUCAUGUGCAAUGGUUAUACCCCUAGUGUUUCAAAGAUUCGUAUUUUGUUU